rnacentral:rRNA from 1 species
UACGUAGGGUGCGAGCGUUAAUCGGAAUUACUGGGCGUAAAGCGUGCGCAGGCGGUUCGUUGUGUCUGAUGUGAAAGCCCCGGGCUCAACCUGGGAAUGGCAUUGGAAGCUGGCGAGCUAGAGUGUGGCAGAGGGGGGUGGAAUUCCGCGUGUAGCAGUGAAAUGCGUAGAUAUGCGGAGGAACACCGAUGGCGAAGGCAAUCCCCUGGGCCUGCACUGACGCUCAUGCACGAAAGCGUGGGGAGCAAACAGG